UACGGGGGGGGCAAGCGUUGUUCGGAAUUACUGGGCGUAAAGUGUGCGCAGGCGGCGUCGCAAGUCGAGUGUGAAAGCCCCGGGCUUAACUUGGGAAUUGCGCUCGAAACUACGAUGCUGGAGUGUGGCAGAGGAAGGUGGAAUUCCACGUGUAGCGGUGAAAUGCGUAGAGAUGUGGAGGAACACCAAUGGCGAAGGCAGCCUUCUGGGCCAACACUGACGCUCAUGCACGAAAGCGUGGGGAGCAAACAGG
rnacentral:rRNA from 2 species